GACGAUGUGUUGGCCAGGGAUGCCGGGGAGUGUGUGAUCUGUCUAGAGGAACUGCAGCAAGGGGACACCAUAGCCAGACUGCCUUGCCUCUGCAUCUACCACAAAAGCUGUAUAGACUCGUGGUUUGAGAUCAAUCGGUCCUGCCCUGAACAUCCCUCUGACUGACCUGCAGGCCCAUUAUGAAUACUGUUCAAGGACAUCUCGUGGUUGUGCCAUGGAUAUCUGGACACAGACACAACCAAAUCUGAUGAACCAAUCUUCACUUCCUUACCCUGACAGAAUCCAUCACCUUAACCAAGAUACUUACUCCUUGUCAAUGAACCCAACAAACGUGAACCAUCGUACAUGAAAGGGCCCUUCCUGUCGUCGGCUGAAGAGAAUGCUCCCCCCCCCCC